rnacentral:lncRNA from 1 species
CCCUUAAUAGUGACAAUGUAAUUUGUGGCAGUAUGUGUCAUGGAUUGAUGCAUGCUUGAUGGACAUUGCUUUGUUUUCAACCCAACCAACAUUUUGAAUCCAAUAAAGCCAACUCAGGGUUGGCUGAAGGAGAAAAAAAAUCUCCAUAUAUUUUGUAUGGAAUUGCAAAUAUCUCUUGUAAUUCGAAUUGCUGCAAUGUGCAUUUUGCACAUUGCUGUAACGUGGUCCAUCCUCUUAAUUAGUCAGGGCUUGCUAGAGGUGCCUACUUGUCAGAAGUCUUAGAAGUCGAUGCAGUGCUGUACAUGAGAAGCCACGUACUCAAAUUACCUCCCAAACCAAAGCCUAAUGGUGGAUAUCA